UAAACCAUAGCAAGCGUAGGGCUACGGUAGCCCAGCUCCUUACGUGGCCAGGUCCACAUACCAAAUAUUUUAAUUACAUGACAAACCAUUUCAACUCUGCCCUCCUUUUAAAGUUAUGCUACUAGGUUCAACCAUCUCAUAAAUGGACAUUUCCUUUUAAGAUAUGGAAGAAGGUGGUUUGUGACUUCUUGCAGCUAGAUUUAUGAAUGAAGAAAUUACAUGCUACUCCCCAUUGCUGAGGUUCUCCCCACCCCCAAGCUGUGUUUCAAUUCCAAUAAAAGUCUUCAUUUCUCCUGUCAAGCAUUUCAGUUUGCUUCUCUGUUCUUGAGAAAAUGAAUUGUGCCUUGGAGAUACAAGAAAACAAGAAGACAUAAUUGGACACUGUAGAGGGAUCAGAGAAGCCACCACUCAGAAGCAAAUCCAUUUGUGAUUACAUAUCACUUGGGGCACGUAUUGGAUUUUGGAGGAUUCCUCAGGUCUUGUCAAAGCUUUGGAACUACAAUUAAGUUUUCAGGUAAACUCACUCAAUUUAUAUUGUCUGCACUACUGCCCAAUACUAAUCACAUGUUCAUUCAAUACUAUUGUCACAUCUACUGCACCAGUCGUGACUUACCAGAUAAGCCAUCUUUGUUACCAAACUGAUAGGAUUAGAAUUAAAAUUUAUUACGAGCCAAACAGCAAAUUCUCAAUAUUUUGUUCUUCUACAGCACUUCAUCAGAAAAUACAAAAGGACUUCAAAUAGUAAAAGCUCAACUCCCAUAUCAAGCCCCUUAUACAAAUUUCACAGAUAAGAAAUUUGAGGCACAAAGGUUAUACUGCAAGUCAGUGUCAGACGCUAUGUCUAAACUACAGGGUUUUGUUUGUUUGUUUUUUUAAAGUGGCCUUUUUUUAGAAAAAUCUUCACCUGCGUCUAGACUGCCACCACGUUCUUUCGAAAUUAAAUCGAAAGAACGUGG